rnacentral:lncRNA from 1 species
CUGAAGAGUAGCUUGCAUGCCCCUAAAUAAGUUUCUGAUUUUACAGUCAUUUUUUGAAUUUAUUUUAUUUUUUAAAAUUUUAGUGCAAAAUUUUGGCCUAAUCUUUCCUUAUUUUGGAAAAUUUUCGGCAUUUUUCGGUAUUGAAAAAAAGAAGAAAAUGAGGUAAGAGAGGGGAAACAUAGCUUGUUUUGGGUUGGAUCCUCCUUGAAUUGUCAAAAUCAGCACAUUUUUUUGGGCAAGGAUGGGGUUUGAAGAAAUGGUGAAGGAACGCCUGAGAAGGCUUUGAAGAAAUGGUGAAGGAACGCCUGAGAAGGCCUUCAUAGCGCACUUAAAAACAUAGGGGGAAGGGGCAACUGGCUCGGACCAGUGUGAAUCGGGCGGCUUGCACUAGUUCCGCUUGGAACUGCUUGGUUCGGACCGAUUUUGAGUUCUAUUGCCGAACCAACCUAGUCUCGCGCCUGGUCGGCUCGGUACGACCUGAACCGAGCGGUUCGGCCCGAUUCGGUAGACCUUGUUUUUAAGGCUACCAAAUUAAAGACCAAAAUUAAGUAAAUUUGAAAAUAAGUAGGCAAAAAGACUUCAUAGGCUCCAAAGAAAAAAAUGUGUAGUAUCCCUUCUAGAUAGCUGCAUUAGCCCAAAUUAUAAUAUAAUUUUUAAAUAUUAUUUUUUUAAUUAGAAUCUUGUAUCCUAGGGCCACUAAAUUUAGAAAAAAAUGAAAUAUAUGACAAAUAAACAUAUAAAAACCCUAGAUUUGAGUUGCAUCAUCUUAGAAAAAGGUCAUGACCUAGUUAUGGUCCCGGUAAUUCGAGGUGUUAGGAGGGGCAAACUAGGAUAGACCAAUCUUUUGUUUUUGUUUUUUUGUGGUACCUUAGGAUUCAAGCCCAUGCCAUUGCACUUGUCAGUCCAAACCUUUUACCAUUACACCAAGCAAUGGCCCCUUAGUUCAAUCGUCUUGAGAAAACUUAAAAUAAAAAAAAAUACCUUAGGGAUUACGGGGGACAGAUCAUAAUGAUCAUGUGUACUCUAUAUUAGUAUGUCCGUGGUAUCAUACCAUAUUGACACUACUUGACUAGCAUGAGUCACAGUAUUGAUACAAUGAACUUGGCUUAACAUGCUUUGUGUUUGACUGUUAACCUGUUAUCAACCCUCCGCUUUUUAACUUUGAGGCUUGGAAGCAACAACGAUGGUGUUAUAGAUCUUGAGCACAUCUUGAAAACUAACUUUAAAAAGCCUUAUUUUAAAAGAUUUAUCUUCUGUGCCUGGUUUCUUUGCUAAUAUGGACAAUUUUAGUAAAAAGGGUGUCCGGCGAACGAGGCUCUCUUCACUCUGGGCUCUGGUGAGGGUUAGAGAUACACAGCCUUACCCUUCCGUGUGGUUUCUUAAUAUGGUCAAUUUUAGUAUCAUCUUUAUUUCCUUGGAUGAUAAGUGAACACCAACACAAGUGUUAAACUUGAAAUCAGCUAUUAUCAGAGAGACCAAGGAAACAUAACACAUUGGACUGUUGCACCGACAGAACAAUCUUAAGCCAUAGUUUUAGUUCCUGUCUUCCUAUUGGAAAAAUGGUUAGCACCUUUCUCUUGAGAUGGAAUCUCUUAUUUGAGGAAGGAUCAUGAUUUCUUAACCUAGUCUCCUCUCUUUUCAUGCAGGAUUGCAACAAUCCACUGGCUACUAUUAUACAAUAUUAACAAUUUAACAUCAUCACUCCCUCCCAAUCGCAAAUCAAGACCAUCUUUAGUAACUUUUUCAUCUUGCUUCGUAUUAGUUAACCAACAUUCCCCUCCACCCUAAUUGAGUCUGACAUCAAUUUCAUACAAAUUGAACAGAGGAUAGAUGAUAACCAGAUAGACUUUAUGGGUUCCAAUGAUCAUGUAGGAAAUCCAUAUUGAGUGGAAGUUACACAGAAGGCUAAAGGCAUGUUAUUUGUGUAAGUAUGAUCCAGGUUCGUUAUAUUGGUUGAAUUAGUUUGGAUCCUAUUAUUUGUAAUCUACCAUUGGUCCCUUGGUCCCUCAGUUUUGAAAUACCAUUCCUUUGAUUGCAUCCAUCCAUGCACCUGAUGUAAAUAGGUUCAUAUGAGAAAAAGACACAUGAUUUAAGGUGAUUGCACACCUACUUGAGUUUUGAAUCAACUUUUUGCUGUCUCAGACUCUCCUCUAUCAGACGUGCUUGACACUGGACACUGAACACAAAGACGCUAACUACAGUGUUUGGGGCAUAGUGUUCAUCUGUUACCUAUUGGAAAUGCACAAUUUCUUCUUCUCUAUCAUCUCAACCAUACGCAUGUUUGAUUUUCCUCCCAGGAUAUGUUUGAUUAUUUCAUCAAUAUUCUUACAUUUUCCUUAUGAUUAUGCUGGCCUUUACGUUUCCUUUACUAUUAAAUUAUUUGGGUCAGAAACCCUAAAGUAGGCAUAACAUAACCAUCCCAAACCAUGAUAUUGGAUGGAAUGAAUGGCACAGCUUAAAUGUAAUCCUUUUUCAUCUGUUUUCUGUAACAUCAUCCAAGGUCUAUGUUUUUGCUCAUCCAAG